UAAGGAAUAUUGCGCAAUGGGCGACAGCCUGACGCAGCGACGCCGCGUGGGGGAUGGAGGUCUUCGGAUUGUAAACCCCUUUCGGCAGGGAAGAUGGAACGGGUAACCGUUCGGACGGUACCUGCAGAAGCAGCCACGGCUAACUUCGUGCCAGCAGCCGCGGUAAUACGAAGGUGGCAAGCGUUGUUCGGAUUUACUGGGCGUACAGGGAGCGUAGGCGGUUGGGUAAGCCCUCCGUGAAAUCUCCGGGCCUAACCCGGAAAGUGCGGAGGGGACUGCUCGGCUAGAGGAUGGGAGAGGAGCGCGGAAUUCCCGGUGUAGCGGUGAAAUGCGUAGAGAUCGGGAGGAAGGCCGGUGGCGAAGGCGGCGCUCUGGAACAUUUCUGACGCUGAGGCUCGAAAGCGUGGGGAGCAAACAGGAUUAGAUACCCAAGUAGUCCCUGAGCGGGCUGGCAAGGCGCAU
rnacentral:rRNA from 1 species